rnacentral:rRNA from 1 species
ACUCCUACGGGAGGCAGCAGUGGGGAAUAUUGCACAAUGGGCGCAAGCCUGAUGCAGCCAUGCCGCGUGAGUGAAGAAGGGUUUCGGCUCGUAAAACUCUGUUGUUAAAGAAGAACAUAUCUGAGAGUAACUGUUCAGGUAUUGACGGUAUUUAACCAGAAAGCCACGGCUAACUACGUGCCAGCAGCCGCGGUAAUACGUAGGUGGCAAGCGUUGUCCGGAUUUAUUGGGGCGUAAAGCGAGCGCAGGCGGUUUUUAAGUCUGAUGUGAAAGCCUUCGGCUCAACCGAAGAAGUGCAUCGGAAACUGGGAAACUUGAGUGCAGAAGAGGACAGUGGAACUCCAUGUGUAGCGGUGAAAUGCGUAGAUAUAUGGAAGAACACCAGUGGCGAAGGCGGCUGUCUGGUCUGUAACUGACGCUGAGGCUCGAAAGUAUGGGUAGCAAACAGGAUUAGAUACCCU